AAAGGUGCAUGAGUGGUGUUUGGUUUGUUACGGGUGGUUGGCUCUUUGCUUGUGCAACAACUUCCACCUGGCAUACCUCUUCAGUCUUGUGUCAAUGCUUAUGUUGCAUUGAAUGCACAGUGGGUUUCUUGUGUUGCAUGCCUAAUUGAUGGUAUCGUUUGAUGAAUUGAUGUCCAUUUUCGUCUUGUGUCGCAUAUGUGAUGUGAGAUGAACCUUAAAGCAGCAUUUGUGAUCCACUCUUUUGAUGCACACGCAUUGAUUUUGUGGCCCAUUGAGUGUUGCUUGGUCUCAUGGAUAUGGAACCUUGUGUGGGCAUGGGAUCUUUUACUAGUUCCUUGUUUGCCCUAGUUAAGCUUUUCAAAUACGAU
rnacentral:misc_RNA from 1 species